CGAGCACGCGCGUGUGGCAUAUCAAUAAGCGGAGGAAAAGAAACUAACUAGGAUUCCCUCAGUAACGGCGAGUGAAGCGGGAAGAGCUCAAAUUUGAAAUCUUCAAGGUUCUACCUUGACGAAUUGUAGUUUAUAGAAGUGUUUUCUGUUAGUAGAGUGGCAAAAGUUCUUUGGAAUAGGACAUCAUAGAGGGUGAGAAUCCCGUAUUUGGUCAUUCCUCCUAGCGUUGUGAUACACUUUCAACGAGUCGGAUUGUUUGGGAAUGCAGUCCAAAAUGGGUGGUAAAUUUCAUCUAAAGCUAAAUAUUGGCGAGAGACCGAUAGCGAACAAGUACCGUGAGGGAAAGAUGAAAAGAACUUUGAAAAGAGAGUUAAACAGUACGUGAAAUUGUCAAAAGGGAAGCGUUUGACACCAGUGUUGUUUUUCCGAAAAUCAAUUACGAAUGUUUUGUUUUUGAGGAAGUUAUGACUUCAUCGGCUUGCUCUCUUCUUUACUGAAACUUUCUUAAUGCACUUUUCGGUUAACAAGUCAACAUCAAUUUCUUUUGUUGUAAAAGGGUAUGAGGAAGGUGGCUUUCUUUUCGGAGAAAGUGUUUAUAGCCUUGUGCCUCUACAAUCGGAGAGAUUGAGGUCUGCAGCGUAGAUCCUUCGGGGUUAGAUACAGUUUGUGCUAAGUUAUAGCUUUUCAUAGACAACUUGUUGACUAUGUUUAGUCUUGUAGCUUACUCGCUGAUGCUAUUUUACCUACGCUUAGGAUGUUGAUGUGAUACUGCGAGCA
rnacentral:rRNA from 1 species